AAAUGUUUUACAAAACACGGGAUAAUGAGGGCUUUUUUUAAGGAAAAUGUCUUACUUUUUUGAAAUCGGUAAGACAUUUUCCAGAAAUUGACACUUCUUCUCCCCUUUCCCCUUCUUCUUCCCCUUCCCCUUCCCCUUCCCCUUCCCCUUUUGAAAUCGGUAAGCCAUUUUCAAUGUUGAAGAAGCCAUUUUCAAUGUUGGCUUAUCUUAGGCCACGACUGAGACGAUGGCUUGAAACCCGGGUAGAAAUAAGACCAAUCGAAAACCUUGGAAGCAACAAAUCACAAGGGCAUAAGCUGUUGAAUAAGCUGUAGGUCUUGAGGCAGAUGUGGCAUCUUCUGAACCACCGGGGAAUCAGCUGUGGGUCUUGAGGCAGAUGGGGCAUAUUUUAAUACUUCCCACCAUGGUGGGCGUUGCAGAAAUAGUGGACUUCUGUGAUUUUCUAUCCCCUACUCCCGAAGAGCAAGCAGCACGUGAUGCAGCUGUACAUUCUGUUUUUUAUGUUAUCAAGUACAUAUGGCCUGCCUGCAAGGUAAUGAUUCUAGAGUCAGGUAUAAAAAAUCCACAGACUGGUUUGUAUGCUCUUUUCAGAGUAUUAUCUCAAAGGGGAAUUGCAAAAAAGAUACAGGUGAUUGCAAAAGCUAGCGUGCCAAUAAUUAAGUUUGUAGAAAAGAAAAGCGAUGCCGCAUUUGAUAUAAGCUUUGAUGUGGAUAAUGGACCAAAAGCUGCUGAGUUUAUCAAGGAAGAGUACUAAAAUGGCCUCAAUUAUGACCAUUGUGUUUGAUCUUGAAAGUAUUUUUACAACAGAGAGACCUGAAUGAGGUAUAUUCAAGUGGAAUAGGUUCAUAUGCUCUCCUUGCAAUGAUCGUAGCCAUGUUGCAGAAAGUUUAGAGAGGUGGUUGAUGCAGCUUUGGAGGCUCAUCUGCACUGUCCGCAGUUAUAUCUUUAUAGCAUAGAUGAUAAGGUCGUUCCGUAUAACACUGUCCCCCUUCUUCUGUUGUCAAAACCCCAACAGAUGUGAUUUGUAGCUCUUCCAUUUAGCAUUGAUGACCAGCUCAAGGCUCGACAUUGCACGUUCUACAUGGUGGCCAUAGGCUAUUUCAGUUACUAGCCAACAGCUAGUUUUAGUUUUAAAGUUAUUUGGUGCUAGCAAUGCUUACAUUGAGUUACUGAUGACAAACAUUUGAAAUAACAUGCAUUAAGACGCAAAGACAUUGAGAAAAAGGGUAUUGUAAAUAUUUCAUUAAAGAGAUUUGAAAGAAGAAUGGAUAGUUCUGUACUUAUGUCAAACUUAUUUAUACAUGCUUUUUUUCUCUUUAUGUAUUUGGCAUUAUGGAUCUAUUUGUCAGAAUUCAUAAAUUAAAGCUAGUCCAAGAUUGUGAAUUUAUGGUUUA